ensembl:lncRNA
GAAGCUGCAUAAAGUUCCUGAACGCAGGCAAACUGACACUGAGAAGGACAAACAAAAGAUUUAAUUUCUGCACCAUGAAGAUGCUGACUGUGUUUCUGCAUGUGUGUGUCAUGAUGACUUUCACACACAGUCUGUGUGAGUAUUUAAAACACAGAAGUUCCUCUCUCACUUUUUCUACAUUAUCUAUACAUGCACACUGUAUAUAUAGAAUAUACAUGCAAAACAUAACCAGAGAAUGGAAUAUCUUAAAUUUUGUCUUAAACCCAUGUUUGUAAAAAAAAAAAAAAUGUCAAGGCUUUGCAAAACUGAAUUAAACAAUCGGAACUUUUUCUUUGUCUAAACAUGAAUGAGAAUCAUUGUACAGUAAUUUCAUAUAAUAUCUAAGCCUAUGUAUAGAUAUACCAUGACUAUACUGUAUAUAAGGACAUGCUGAUCAAUUUGAGUUUGAUUUGUUUGCAUUUUGCCAAUAUCGCUUCACUUCUGUGAGUAACUUGCAUCACAAAUUUUCUACUUCUUUUUAAUCACUUUUGUUACUAAUCACAAACAAUAUUUGUGUGUCAAAUAAAAUGUAUUUUAAACUGUCUUUGCAGCUGUUCCAGAGGAAACAACUGUGCCAGGUGAAUAUAAAGGUUGUCUUUUAGUGGGAAUAUACUCUAUUUUGAUCCACUAGUAAAUAAUUAAAGCGAUUAAUCUACAAUACUAACUGCAACCAAAAACAUCAACUAAUGCAGAUGGAGACUGUUUGGGAGUACUGCCAUAACCUUCACUUGGAGUACAUUACUUCUUUUCUCCUCCAAAAGUCAGGCAUACAGAAAGUCUACACAGCAGACUCAUUUUCAUGUGUUCUUCUUUAUCUACGAUUUGUUUUUAAAA